CGGCACGCUCCAUGGCAACCUGAAACUGGGGAAGGACGGAAGGAGUUCUCUGCCACUAUGGCGCUGCCGAUGCUGCCUGGCAAUUCUCUUAUCAAAAACGUGCUGAGCUUCGACGCGUUCUUUUGGGAGGCUGUGCCUCAGAAAGCGAGAGGAGAAGUAUCACGUUGCAUCUGAACCUCCUAGCCAGUGGCACAUAAGGAUUUUCCCCAGAUAAAAAACGUCAGCCCGGAGAGAUUACAGACCGAAGGGUACUCAACAUGUUUGGUCCUAUGGGCCAGGCAGGAUGCUACAUCCUGGACACCCUCAAAAUGGGUGCGGUCCAAGAGAAGUUCUAUAAGAAGGGGGGACACUGGGACGUGUGGUCAAUGUGUGGGGAUGCAGGGUGGUCAUCUGUGACUGUGACAACUUCAGCAAAGCGUUCUACUGCUCCAAAUACGGCGUUGGUGCUUGCUGGGGGGUCUGCAGUGUGGUCUGUCAGAACACGAGGAGAUGAUGUCGAGUCGUAGUUUCUGUGAGCGCCAGCUGCCCGAGGCGGAGGUUGGCCUCACGCUGGCUGUGGCUCAGGACCACCUCCGCAAGAAAGACUUUGAGAGAUUCUCCGACAUGACCCGAUCCUUCACACACAAGGACCAACACAGUUUGACAUGGACUGGAGGUGAAGAGCAUUAACUACUCUGUCCUCCUGGAAGAUAUGUUCGGUAGUGUCCAGACCAACAUCGACCCAACACUCUAACCGGCCCAACACAGGCAACACAGAGACAAAGAUAUGGAGAAGAAACCACCAGAUAGAUCAUCAGCCUAUGAAAUCAAUCACCUCACUGCUCGCUGUAUAUAUUAUCCUCUUUCAAUAAAAGACAUGGAUUAUGGCC
rnacentral:lncRNA from 1 species